AUGUGGUUUGUGCAUAAACAAGUCAUUUUGACAAAAGACAACCUGGCAAAACGCAAUUGGAUGGGUUCUGCUAGGUGUAGCUUUUGUGGUUGUAACGAAACUAUAAGGCACCUCUUUCUAGAUUGUCCGCUGGCUAAGAUUCUUUGGCGUUCGAUUCAUAUUGCUUUUAAUAUUACUCCACCUACCUCUAUCAAUAUGUUAUUUGGAACAUGGCUUGACGGGGUUAACUUGGAUGUAGCAAGACACAUUCGUGUCGGAGUGUGUGCCUUGCUAUGGGCAGUAUGGAACUGCAGAAAUGAUUUGGUUUUUAACAGAAAAACGAACUUUCACUUUUUGCAGGUUAUCUUCAGGGCCACAGCAUUGAUCCGUAUGUGGUCGUUACUCACUCCAACGGAGGCCAGGGGGCGUUUGGCUACUGUGUCUACCCGAUGGGAGAUGGUAGCUCGGGAUAUUUUCAACCGGUUUGGAUGGCGGUCAUGUAAUAGGAUAGGCAUGUAG
rnacentral:rRNA from 1 species